GGAUUGUGGCUCAGUGGUAGAGUGCUCGCCUAGCACGUGUGAGGCCCUGGGUUCGAUCUUCAGCACCA
rnacentral:tRNA from 1 species